UGGGGAAUAUUGGACAAUGGGGGCAACCCUGAUCCAGCAAUACCGCGUGUGUGAAGAAGGCCUGAGGGUUGUAAAGCACUUUUAGUGGGGAGGAGGAUACGAAGGUUAAGAGCUAUCGUAUUGGACGUUACCCACAGAAAAAGCACCGGCUAACUCCGUGCCAGCAGCCGCGGUAAUACGGGGGGUGCAAGCGUUAAUCGGAAUAACUGGGCGUAAAGGGUGCGUAGGUGGUUUAAUAAGUUAUGUGUAAAAUUCCUGGGCUCAACCUAGGGAGGUCAGAUAAGACUGUUAGACUAGAGUAUAGGAGAGGGUAGUGGAAUUUCCGGUGUAGCGGUGAAAUGCGUAGAGAUCGGAAGGAACACCAGUGGCGAAGGCGACUACCUGGCCAGAUACUGACACUGAGGCACGAAAGCGUGGGGAGCAAACAGGAUUAGAUACCCCCGUAGUCCCUGAGCGGGCUGGCAAGGCGCAU
rnacentral:rRNA from 1 species